rnacentral:rRNA from 1 species
CCUACGGGCGGCAGCAGUGAGGAAUAUUGGUCAAUGGACGAGAGUCUGAACCAGCCAAGUAGCGUGAAGGAUGACUGCCCUACGGGUUGUAAACUUCUUUUAUAUGGGAAUAAAGUGUUCCACGUGUGGCUUUUUGUAUGUACCUUAUGAAUAAGGAUCGGCUAACUCCGUGCCAGCAGCCGCGGUACUACGGAGGAUCCGAGCGUUAUCCGGAUUUAUUGGGUUUAAAGGGAGCGUAGGUGGAUUGUUAAGUCAGUUGUGAAAGUUUGCGGCUCAACCGUAAAAUUGCAGUUGAGACUGGCAGUCUUGAGUACAGUAGAGGUGGGCGGAAUUCGUGGUGUAGCGGUGAAAUGCUUAGAUAUCACGAAGAACUCCGAUUGCGAAGGCAGCUCACUGGACUGCAACUGACACUGAGGCUCGAAAGUGUGGGUAUCAAACAGGAUUAGAUACCCUAGUAGUC